GACGAACGCUGGCGGCGUGCCUAAUACAUGCAAGUAGAACGCACAGUUUAUACCGUAGCUUGCUACACCAUAGACUGUGAGUUGCGAACGGGUGAGUAACGCGUAGGUAACCUGCCUGGUAGCGGGGGAUAACUAUUGGAAACGAUAGCUAAUACCGCAUAAUAUUAAUUAUUGCAUGAUAAUUAAUUGAAAGGUGCAAUUGCACCACUACCAGAUGGACCUGCGUUGUAUUAGCUAGUAGGUGAGGUAACGGCUCACCUAGGCGACGAUACAUAGCCGACCUGAGAGGGUGGUCGGCCACACUGGGACUGUGACACGGCACAGUCUCACUCGGGAGGCAGCAAGAGGGAAUCUUCAGCAAUGGACGAAAGUCUGACCGAGCAACGCCGAGGGAGGGAAGAAGGUUUUCGGGUCGUAAAGCUCGGUUGUAGGGGAAGAACGGGUGUGAGAGUGGAAAGUUCACACUGUGACGGUAUCUUACCAGAAAGGGACGGCUAACUACGUG
rnacentral:rRNA from 1 species